UCGAGAAUCAUUCACAAUGGGGGAAACCCUGAUGGUGCGACGCCGCGUGGGGGAAUGAAGGUCUUCGGAUUGUAAACCCCUGUCAUGUGGGAGCAAAUUAAAAAGAUAGUACCACAAGAGGAAGAGACGGCUAACUCUGUGCCAGCAGCCGCGGUAAUACAGAGGUCUCAAGCGUUGUUCGGAAUCACUGGGCGUAAAGCGUGCGUAGGCGGUUUCGUAAGUCGUGUGUGAAAGGCGGGGGCUCAACCCCCGGACUGCACAUGAUACUGCGAGACUAGAGUAAUGGAGGGGGAACCGGAAUUCUCGGUGUAGCAGUGAAAUGCGUAGAUAUCGAGAGGAACACUCGUGGCGAAGGCGGGUUCCUGGACAUUAACUGACGCUGGGGCACGAAGGCCAGGGGAGCGAAAGGG
rnacentral:rRNA from 1 species